rnacentral:rRNA from 1 species
AGUGAACGCUGGCGGUAGGCCUAACACAUGCAAGUCGAACGGCAGCACAGUAAGAGCUUGCUCUUACGGGUGGCGAGUGGCGGACGGGUGAGGAAUACAUCGGAAUCUACUUUUUCGUGGGGGAUAACGUAGGGAAACUUACGCUAAUACCGCAUACGACCUACGUGUGAAAGCAGGGGAUCUUCGGACCUUGCGCGAUUGAAUGAGCCGAUGUCGGAUUAGCUAGUUGGCGGGGUAAAGGCCCACCAAGGCGACGAUCCGUAGCUGGUCUGAGAGGAUGAUCAGCCACACUGGAACUGAGCAACGGUCCAGACUCCUCCGGGAGGCAGCAGUGGGGAAUAUUGGACAAUGGGCGAAAGCCUGAUCCAGCCAUACCGCGUGGGUGAAGAAGGCCUUCGGGUUGUAAAGCCCUUUUGUUGGGAAAGAAAAGCAGCAGGUUAAUACCCCGCUGUUCUGACGGUACCCAAAGAAUAAGCACCGGCUAACUUCGUG